AAAAGAUAAAAGUUAAAUUUAAAUGCAUUUAUUAAGAUAAGUAGAGUGCGAUUUCAAACGAGACGAAACGUCUCGGAAUACUUUUUACCAGAAAAAAUGAAUCUUUCCACCAAUAUUUCGACUUUAAAUAAAUGCUUGUGGAGUUUUAAAAUUUUUUAAUCCGAAUCAAAUUUAUUCGGGGUACUCCAAAAGCAGAAAUACGCUUAAAAGAUCGAAUAAUGCAGUCUUCUAGGAGAUAGUGAUGAUGACAUAAAACAGAUUUUUCUGAUCCAUUUGUGCAAUCAGCGUGUUCUUUUUCUUUCCUUUGCCCACCUUAUCGUUUAUCAAGGCCGGUCACAUGGAGAAAGUUGCGAGACAACAUCUUUCAACCCAUUAAAAAAGGAAAAUAGUGGACGCCCAAUCGAAUUACACUUAGAAUCGUUGUGUUUUCUGUUUCUCAGCUUAUUUAAAUUCAUCAUCUCGCGCCAACAGUACCGUAACGUUUUCGUGCUAUUAAAACUUUAUUAGCAGACAGCGUCGAAAGUUAAAUUUUCGGUGGGGGGAAAACUCCGAGCGGUCUUGCAACUGCUUCGAUUCCAAGCGGUGAUCGAAACGAAUGGUGAUUAGAGGCGCCAACUCGAACUGUCGGAGAUGGCAAAUGCAACAAUUGUCGUGGUAACAAAUCGUCCGCCAGGCGACGCUCCUCGACCAGAAGUUAACCACUUGCUCAGCCAGUUUCGUCUUCAACCAUUCCGUAAGCGUUCAAACCGUCGGCUCCAACCUGUCCGGUUGGCGGAUCCGCAGUCGCCGGAUAAACGAACGGAACACGAACCACACAAACACGUAAAAAAGUAUGGAUAAGACGAGUUGACAUUACACCACUGGUUGAAGCGGACUAUGGCUAGAUUGUGAGUAUUAAUUAUCGUAACUAAUUACGGGUCGAAGGUUGCCUUAAUAUUAAAAGCUGCUUAAUGCGUGUUCGAAGUCAUCUGUUAAUUAAAUUUUGUGGCGUCUUGUCCGUUACCGCGGAGGGGUCGUUGUUCUCUAAUUAUAUAAUUUUCUCUUAAAUUUGCAGUCUGGAAAUGUAAUUCUUUUGACUCGGUAAAAUCUCAAAAAAAAUUCUCUUCGUAAAUAUCUUAACGUCAAGCAAAAUGUUUUCCAAAACGACUUCUCAUCGUUAAAAUUUACAUAGUUGCUUUUGUUCUAUUAAUUUUAAUUGGCAUAAAUCCCUACAUGUCCUAAAAAUUUCGUUAAAUGAAAUUUUCCAGCUGUUUGUAUAUUAUUGCGUAAUGAGGG
rnacentral:lncRNA from 1 species